rnacentral:rRNA from 1 species
GAUGAACGCUGGCGGCGUGCUUAACACAUGCCAGUCGAACGAAGCACUUUAUUUGAUUUCCUUCGGGACUGAUUAUUUUGUGACUGAGUGGCGGACGGGUGAGUAACGCGUGGGUAACCUGCCUUGUACAGGGGGAUAACAGUUGGAAACGGCUGCUAAUACCGCAUAAGCGCACAGCAUCGCAUGAUGCAGUGUGAAAAACUCCGGUGGUAUAAGAUGGACCCGCGUUGGAUUAGCUAGUUGGUGAGGUAACGGCCCACCAAGGCGACGAUCCAUAGCCGACAUGUGAGAGUGACCGGCGACAUCGGGACUGAGCCACAGCCCAAACUCCUACGGGAGGCAGCAGUGGGGAAUAUUGCAAAAUGGGCGAAGGCAUGAUGCAGCGACGCCGCGUGAGCGAAGAAGUAUUUCGGUAUGUAAAGCGCUAUCAGCAGGGAAGAUAAUGACGGUACCUGACUAAGAAGCACCGGCUAAAUACGUG